GUUUUGUUUUUAAGAGUGAGGGAGUAGCCGUCCCUCAGGCUCCUUCUCUUCUCAACCCCCCUAGAGCCCAGUUGGUUCAGCUCACACACACACACACACACAGAGGAAACAAUAAAUCAACUUUCGCUGCGACCUGAAGAACAGCCACUGUUCUCUCCUCACAGCUUUGGCUGAUGAUCCUUUCCCCUGCAGAGUAUUUUUUUUCUUCUUUAAAAAAAAAAAAAAAAAAGAUGAACUUACUUUACCAGUGACUUCCCAGCUUAAUGGUAUCUGGUUGAGUCUUCUCUUCCACUCAGGUCUGGUUCUAGGGAUUCUCUGUUCCCAGCAGUCUUUUCCAUUUUUUUUUUCUUCAGAGUCGUAUCUCGCUUUUGAUUCUCUCCGCGUGCUGCGCUGCCUCUCCUGGGAAUUUUUUCUAUCUUAAAGGAGCAACUGCUCCAGAAGCUUUGUUUUCCCACUAUCUUCUCCUCUUUGCUCUGCUUGGUCUUUUUCCCUGUGGUAAGUAUUUGACUUAUGACCAGUCCCUCGUCACACCUCCCCUUGCAGGUUCAGGGGGCUAGACUUAGCCCAAGCUGUCUGCUCCAGCUGAGUAGGGAGGCAUGCUUUAAAACUGCCCAGCUUCUGACCCAGGUCACUGCAGGCAUCUACCUAUAUUUCCACAAUCAAAAAUGAAUGUCAGUUCACUUCCUUAUUAGUUCAAUCUACACAGCUUAAACUAACCUUUAACGAUUGAAUCAGUUCAGCCUUGGGCUUUUUGACUGUCUAUACUUAGCCAGGCAGGUCAGGAGACCAAGUUCAGUAAAGAACCCGGAUUUAGGCCCUCACCCUGGAUAGAACCAUCAGCCAAGUUUAGGAGGCAGGAGUCCAGGCUGGGGUUGCUAGGUAGGGGGUCUUGAGCAGGCUGCUAUAGCUGUAUGGGAUCAGGACAUGGGUCAAGGUUAAGCCAUGAGGCAGGAGCCGGCAAUCAGAGGACUGGGCUAGAGUCUGGAGCACAAGGGGCCAAUGGGGAGAAAUGAGCAUGAUCCCAGGAAGCCAACAGGCCAGAUCCAGGAAACAGGAAACCAAAAACAAACAAGCAGGACCUAGGACACUAGGAACAAUCAGGCAGAACCCUGUGACUGGGGAACUAGGAAUCAAAGGUAGGAGCAAGGAAACUAAAAACAAGGGGUGAGAAGCCCAAGGUGAAACAGAGAAUUAUCCUUCCUGUUGUGUAAUCUGCUGGGCUCUGAAGAGCUGCAGUUGUCUGCCCAUGCAGGCAACUGGGGUCAGCUGGGAGUAGUUAGGCAGCCAGGCCCAAAGAAAUUAGGUAAACUCUAAAGGAAAAAUAUACUCAUUUGUCCUUCCUGAUUCCAGAAAGAUGCAAGGGCUCAAAUAGACCCAAGAACUUCUUCAGUGGCACUUGCAAUGUGCUGCACAUUUUUCUUGCAAAUCAGUUUACCAGAUAAUACAGUUUUGGAGGGUGAAAUGAAAACUUCAGAUUAGGAGCUGAAUCUCUGAACACUUUUAUGUUCACCCAUCACUGGUUAAGGGGGCCAUGUUUUUUGUUAGCUUUGCACAUGUUAAUUCUGAGGAGUCCUAUAAUGUGGCCAUCUCGAUUUGAUCCUUUUUUCACAGUGUACUCGCAUGACUUCACAGUUCAACAGAGAAUGGUUUAUUUUGCUUUUGCUAACAUCUGUAGAAUUUAACUGUAAAGUUGUGACUUUGGAGCUCUUGGCCAAUUUUUCUCAUGUUACAGGCAUGAAAGUGUUUUUGGCCUUUGGUCAGGUAGAUUGGAAGAUUCCCAUGUUUAUGACAGUUUUGCAUGUUAUAGUGUCCACUACUUAUAGGGAAUGGAGAGAGGUGCCAAAGUGCUACAUCAUUCCUGAGUCUCUUCUCUACAUUACGAAGUGCUGCUUUGCUUUGGCAAGCAGAGGUGUAAAAAGAUCACACCCUCUAGCUGACCUACCUGUGCCAGCCAGCCCCUCCCCUCCUUCCCCUCAGGGUGGAUACAGUUCUGGCAGCAGAGCUUCUGCCAUUCCAGGAAAUUGAUUCAAUUCUGGCAGUGAGAAAAUUUCUUCUGCUAGUAGUGGUACAUUGACUUAAGGGGCUUUACCACCAUAUCACUGCCACCAUUGCUAUAGCCACACAAGGCCUGUAGUGUAGACUAAACCUUGGAAAUACCUCCAAUCUCUUUAGCUGUUUAAAAAUCAUAGAAUCAUUCUUAAAGGGCAUUUUAUUUAUUUACAAAUGAUGGGGUAACCUGGAAGAAAUAGCCUUUUCCUUCAUACUUGCAGAACACACUAUUAUAUGUACCAACUGCUACUGAUGGGCUUGUAGGCAUCUAGAAUACAUGCUGCCCAUGUCAGUAGCAUGGUUAUGAUGUCUUAUACUGUGUAUUAACUCUUACUUAAACCCUUUUCACUGUAACUUGAACUGACUGUAUUUUUGUUCAUGCUAGUUUUAGCUCAAGCAGCAUAUAGUCCACAGAGCUACUGGAUCCAGCCCACAGAACUGGGGAGGGCUUUGGUGGCAAAAGUUUGGUAACAGUCUAGCAGUGGGGGGAUGGAGGGGGGCUUUGCCCACACCCAAACUGGACCCACACAGCAAGAAGCUGCACCCAUGCCCCAGCUGAGGAGGGGGAAGAAAUGGCAACAGGAAAAAAACAAAGCAGAAGCCAGGUUGAAACACUGCCCUAGCAUGGACACAAUCCAGGUUCUUUCAGCCCAUGGCUCCCAAAGGUUGCUGGCCUCUAGUCUAGCUAAUACAUGAAGUCGAUACAAUAAAACUUUACCACACAACAUGACAUGUGGCCAGAGCAGGAGAGAGUCUCUGCCUCUGACUAAUACUGACCGUUGUAAGUCACCUUGGACCAUAUCCUGCAAAGGCUUGCCCAUGCCCUUAUCUUCAUGCAUUGUGAUUAGUUCCCACUGAUUAUUGUGGGGAUCCUGGAGUGUAUCUUUGUAGAAUCUCUGCCUCAAUUUACCUACCUGUAAAAAUGCAGUAAUAAUCUCCAAAGGGUACUUAUUAUCUUGAGCUAAUUAAUUAUAAAACACAUUGAGAGUCUGAAAUGUUAUGCCCUGGAAAUACUAAUUAAUAAGAUCACAAUAACAUAACAAAGAAAAAUACUAAUGGAAAAAUUCAUACCCUUAAAAAAGAAUGAAUAUUAAAAGAUUGUUAAGGUUUACAAAUUAGGGGGUCAUGUAUUCCCCAGCCCCUUUACUAUGUAAUUUUUUUCCUGGGUUUUGAACUAAAUACAUCUCUAGCAUUUUCUUUCUCCAGCUUCCAGGUGCAAGACUGUGGUAGGGCACUGGUUGUGCCUGCCACUUUAAGGGUCAGAAAGCAGCAGCUGACAGGUGCCUGAUUAGGGCAGCCAUUUUAGAUUCAGGGCUGCCCAUAUAAACAGGGCAGUUCUGAUGCUGGAGCCGAGUAGCAACAACAUCACCUGGCUGGAGGGCUGCUGAUAUCAUCUGGAGAUGGGCACAAGGAAAGGAAGUGAUUGGGUAUCAGGUCACCUGACAGGCCCGUGGCAUAGUCAGGAACAACACCCAGAUCUUCACCCAGUGCUGUGUCCUUUUGAUGACGGCUCUCCAGGAAAAACUUCAGCAGGAUGUCAUCCCUGAAUGGCAUCCUAGAAUGGUCAGACCCUGGUGACAAGGCCAUUCCGUUUGGAUCUGGGAGAAAGGCAGCCAUUUCCCUGGUGAGUGUCCUAAAAACCAGACUCUGGACUAGUCCAGGGUGUUUCUCUCUCUACAGUGAUGACCUUGGAUUUGAAAUCUUUCCUAACAAAGAUUUGAUCGAAGUUGAUGGGUCCAGGGCAAAGUUUCUGUUUUGAUGGCUUGACAUUUUCUGAUGAGGGGUAAAAAUGUUUUGUCUAAAAAUUCCUUCUCAAUUUUAUUGCUGAGCCUGCUGCCUGUCACCCAGUACUGACUCAUUGUUUUCAUAUACUUGUUUCUAUGUCUGGUAUUUUUUGUCUUGUAUGUAAAUGUUAUGUUCUUAGGAAUGGGACCAUGACUUUGGUUUACAUUUAUACAGUGUCUUCUACUAGGCAGUUCUGGUUCAUUUUUGUGUCCUACAGCAAUACAAAUAAUCAAUAAUAAUAACAAUAUAGUCUGAAAAUAAAUCCAUAGGGCCAGAUCCUCAAUGGAGGUAAGCUGGAGUGGCUCCAAAUUAGCUGUGCUGAAUUACAUUAGCUGAGGAUCUGGCUUACCAGGUAAAAUAGAAGCCUGGCUGUGUAAAUACUUAUUCCUACGAGUAAAGGAUCACUCACAGUGAAGAUUAGCAGGAGGGGAUCUGAGUCCUUAAAAUGCACCACUUCUGAAUUAGGCCAAGUAGUUCAUUAAGUUGUGAUAUUGAAUACAGUAGCAACUCAGUUGUCUGAGCUAGUCAAAAAACAGAUUUGUAGGAAACUUGGAACCUGUUUCCAUUUUUCCAGGUUCAAAAUAGACCCAUUUUCUGCGUUUUUGAUUUUUUUAUUUUUAGGUUAUUUUUCCCCUUAGAAAAGUUUGACAUUUUAUUCCAUUUAAUUUUAAUCAGAAUUACAUUCUAGAUUAUAACAAACAUUUUCUUUUACUAAAAAUACAAUGCAGCCCCCUUCCCCCCUCCAAACCACACAUCCUUUUUUAUUGAAUAGGAUUUUGAUAAAAGACAAUAAAAUGUUAUGGAAAUUCUCAAUAGAAACUUUCAACAAUGUUCACAGUGUUUUAUGAAAAGUUUCUAUAUUUUUGGAAAUAUAAUUUUGUAAGAACUUUUUAUAACCUACUGGUGAUUUCAUCUUGAUUGUCUGAAUUCUCCACUAGCCACAUAUAAGUGUAACACACUUUUAGGUUCUUCCUCAUCUGACACCAUCCUAAUUGGCUCAGUGUAUGUGAUGUUGUCAAACCAAUUGUGGUAAUAAACAUUACCAGUGUAUUAGAGUGUGCACUGAGACUCUCUGGAUCCUGUCUCUAAGGGAUGCAUAUAUUUUUGUUUCUUCAUGAGAAGUAGACAUAGUGGAUUUUAAAGGGGAGUAAAAGACUUCAUCGUAUCAUUUUAUAUUCAUUAUUUCAUACCAAAGGUGGGUGGAAUACAGUUCUCAUAUCAAUUUUACACCAGUGUAACAUCAUACUUCCACUUCAGGUUUAUACAGAAGAAUAUCAGACUUCAUUCUGGAAAUAUAUUUUUUAAAAUUCUGUCAGACAAAAUAGUACACAGGCAAUGUGAAGUAUAAGCAAUAGAAAGUUGUGAUGUGUGCAGACUAAGUAUGAGCAUUCCAUCUUAAGGCUAGUCACCCCGGGCUGCAUGCUGCCACCCUGGCUGGCAGAGAAUAGUGUGUAACUCAGUAAGUUCUCCUUUACCCAGUAGCGCCUACACCGUGCAGUCAGUGGACAGCUUGGGGAGAAAGGCAGUACACAGUAAAGGUGAAGAAGCUGGGCAUCAUGUGAUAAUGCCAGGAGCACUAGAAACUCUGCAAAGAUGGGGGUAAAAAAACUGAACAAAGGCUUCAGAAUUUAGCCCUUAUUUCUCCUGCCUUUAAAAUCACAAAGGCAAUGAAUUCACUGUGCUAAAUUCUGCAAUAUGAAAAUGACUAAUGGCUGUGUGACACUGAGAGCAUACGAUCUUGAGAUCCCUGAGAAUGGCAAAAUCAGCCCCCAGUGGCUGGGGGAGGGCGGGGGCACGGCUGCACUGGUGAUGGUGGGAGCCCACCGGUGGCGGAGGUGGGAGCCCGGCAGGGGCAAGCACAAAGCUCCUGAGGAGCUCUUGUAAGUGUAUUUAAGAUAUUUGUGCUGGGGGGCGGAAAUGUGUAUUUAAGAUGAGGGUUUGGCAUUCGCGAAUAGUGAGGGUUUCCUGUAUAUGUAGCUCAACACAAGUCACACAAGAGUCCUGGGUCCUAGGCCCUCUUCAGCUUUAGGGGAUUCCAACCCAUAUCACCUGCUUUUCAGGAGACUGUCCCAACCAGCAGGUUAUGCUGUAGGCAGAAUGGUGCUACCUUCCACCUCUUCUGUUGAAGUUGCCCUAUUGGUCCAAGAGAACAAGACUCAUAGCCAGGGUGGGGGGGGGGAGGAAGGGGUGGCAAGAGAACUGAGCUUAGAACUCCGGGCUUCCAUGUCCUGCAUGAAUACUCUCAGCAUUAGGUACUGAGCAAAAAGAGUGGCACCAUGAGCAUGGUGUGUGCUUGGUACCAAAAAUCCCCCACACUAACUGAGGGAUUGUGAGGUUUAAGGGCUCCCAGCCAGCCUGGUAGGAGCUGCUGAAUCCUAGAUUGACUGCAGCUGUUCAUGAUUGUCCUAUUGGCUGCAGGGGACUGGACAGGAACUGUUAGCCUGGUCCCUUCCUCAAGCAGUUCUUUGGCUGUUCAGAGCUCUUCAGCUUGCAGUUCCUCCUGAGUUUCUGCUUCCCAGUCUGGUCUCCCUGUUCGAGCUCUGUUUCCUUCUUUACUCUCAAUUCCACCUCCAGCCCUAGUCCCCUGUACUACUGAGCCUCAUCUUAUUCUUGGCUUCUGAUUCCUACCUUCAUCUCUGGAUAUCUGGCUCUGACCUUGCCUCAUGGCUCUUGGUUCUUGACUGCAGUUCCUAACCUGGGUCUUCAUGACAAAGGUAGGCUGCUAAUGCUUUGGUCCCCAAGAGGAACUGCCUAGACCCAGCCAAUAACCUAGCCACAGCUAUUGUACGUCUGUACUCCCAGCCACCACCAGAGUGUAGGAGCCUAACUCAGGGUAGCAGGGAGGUGACUACCCAAUCUGGGUCCAGAGUCCUCAUGUGAAGACUUGUCCCUUCUUACCUCUUCUUUUGUCUUUAUCCUUUCAUUUUAUCUCUAUGUUAUCUUCUAUUCUGUCCCCUAGGCCUGGAAUAUUUUCCUUUCUGUAGGAAUCAACCCUACAUGGCACUGGGCAACAUGGUAUAGAUUAUUAAUACAUUCAUUGCCUGUUAUUUCAAGACCAUCCUCCAUUUUUUUCUGUGAGGCACAGAAAUCAUAGAAUCAUAGAAAAAUAGGUCUGAGAGGGACCUCAGAUCAUCAAUUUCAACACCACCUGCUCAAGACAGGAACAUCCCUGUCUAAACCAUCCCAGACAACUGUUUGUCUAAUUUUCUCUUAACGCUUUUAGUGAAAGAGAUUCUACAGUUUCUCCCCUGUUAAUCCUACCAUCUAUUAUAUUAAACUAGGUUUCUCAGUUCAUUUUUAUGCUCAUAAGUGCCUAGAGGGGCACUACAUUUUGUUGGUCAGUACUAGACACAGCACUGGUACUUACCAAAUUGACUUAAUGUAUGUGUGUAUUUUGAUAUGAAACAGAAUAAGUACAACCCCCCUCCCCAUCUGUUUCUCUACUGCCUCACUCAGGCUUGGGGUAAAAUAAAUCAUAAUAAUUAUUAAAAAGGAUAAUAUGGGAUGUUGCAUGGGCAGGUCAGAUAGUGAAGAAAAAGAUUGCAUUAAAUGAGAUCAUGAGCUUAAUUGAAAACGUUAUGAGAUGAAUCUUGUGGUAUGUAUGUAUUGACAGUGGAGGUAAACAUGGAUUAAUAUUUUACAAGUUAAUGACACAUAAGUGGCAAAUAUAGCCCGUGUUAUCAUUCAGGGCGUUGUUUCUAUUUAAGCAGUAGAUUGUAACUCAGAUCCAGGCUCACAUGAGUAAAAUGAGGUGGGUACCUAUAUAUUUUUCUGAAUUGAGGCUUAAAGGUUAUAUUAGCAAGUUAUGCUCCAUGUAGUUUUCUACCCAAAUGUUCUCUUGCUUUAAAUGUUCCUAUUUAAAGUCAUACAAUCCUUUUAGUAUGAGCACAAUUUUUAAUAGUUUAAAGAUGUGUUAUAGAGUUUUCUGUGGGAGAAGAGAAUAAGCUAUUCAGAUAUAAGCAUGUUUAAACAUAUAUAAUAUCAGGGGUUUCCCAGGAUAUCAUUUUGCUUAAAAAUGAGACCUGUAACUGAAAAAGCACUGACCAUAUGAAUAUUGUGUGACUUGGCCUUUGAAUGCUAAUGAAGGUACUAUCCUGGUCUCAUUGACAUGAAUAGGAGUUUUUCCAUUUACUGUACUGGGGACAAGAUUUCAUCAAUAAUGUUUAUAGCCAGCUUAUUUCUUCAUUAUUCUUGACUAACUUUAUUCCUGGUGCCAAAUAAAAUAUAACUUAAAAAAAUAAAGCAUUCAUUAAAUCAUUAAAAAAAGACCCUGAAAAUGUACACUUUUAUCUUGAUGUCCCUAGACUUGGCUUUUGAAGCAUCUUUUUUCACUUGCUAAAGGACAGUAAGAAUGAUUGUGGAGUUAUUAGUCUAAUAGCUAGUCUUCAAGUGGUCAAUGGCAGAUGCUUCACAGGAAGGCAUAAAACAUGUUUAAUAUGCCUGAAAAGUGUUUUAUGAUACCAUAACAGGAAACAUCACCCUUCCUGAUCCCAGCUGAGCACUCAAAUUAUGCAUUAAAUACGAGAAUUUAGAGCCUUUGUAAUGUUUAACUUGGACAAUAUAGCUGCUGUCACUUGUAUAAAUGGGACACUUUUCCCAGAAACUUAGCAGUUUGUCUCAACAACGAGAUGGGCAGUCAUUGCACAAGAGAAUACAACUUUGUGUAAGUUGACCACUGGUGGCAUCUACACAAAACACUGACUGCGCAAUUGUUACUGUGCAGAAAUUUAGUAUUUGGAUAUACAAGUAGCUGGCAUUACUGCACAGUAGUGUCUCUGCAUGACUUCUUGGUGAUGCUGACUGCAUGGUAGCUCAUUACUAAUGUACGAUAGUUUGCGUAGUUUCGUAGCUUCAUGCUGCAUGACAAUAUUGCACAGUAGUAACAAGCUAUUGCACGGUAGUAACAAGCUACUGUGCAGUAGUAAUGAGCUAGUGCACAGUCAGUGUCUCAUGUAGAUGCAGCCACUGUGUGAAAAAGUGAAUAAAUAAAUAUGAAAAAUAUUGUAAUUCCCUCCUAACCAUUUCUUAAAAAUGCUUUCAAAUUCCUUAACUAGGCGUUGGAAAAAUAUAUUUCAUUUCAUCCAGGUUGUCUUAACUGCACCUAAUUAUUCUUCUUUAUACAGGUCACUCUUUCAGAUGGCUACUGCAUCUCCUUUCCAUUUAAACAUAUAUUCAAAAGGUUCAGUUUGCCAUUGAUGCUAUAGAGAUAUGCAUAUUCCCUCCCUUUUUAUAGACUAUUUUAUACAGGAAAGAAUUGCACUCAGGUACAAGCAGGUAGAAUAGAUGUUCAUGAUUUGCAUCUUUCUGUGGGUUCAGAUUGUGCCUGGGGUCUCAGCUGCAAUGCUGUAUUUCUAUUUACUUUAAUGGCUCUUCAGUGAGCCUUGGUGUAAUAAGGUGCACAGAGUCAGUUCAAUUCAGAGCACUAUGCUCUAAGCACUGCUCCUUCUCAGCCAAUUAAAGCUGUUCAACACUGUGAAAAAAAUGUUUUCAACAAAACAUGGCUUUCUAAUCACAGCUAGACCAUCCUUAGGACAUUUCUCAUUUUUAAACCACUUAAGGGGGUUUUCCUCAGGAACCCUGAAACCCACAAAAGCCAAAAACUUGAUUUUUCCAGCAUCAUGAAAAUAUCCUGGCUGAAAGCAUUUUGCAAUUUCAGGUUGAGGGGGUUUGACAAAAAAUUGAAAUCUUUCAAAGAAAAUGGGGAGAAGGGGAUUGUAGAAAUGUUUCACUGGCACAAGAGUGAAUUAAUCAAUCUGGCCCUUAAAAAGAGAAAGGCUCCAUGCAGGAAUUAUAUCAAAUUAUUGGCCUCUGAUUGUGUUGCAAUUUGCUAAUGCCACUUGUGGAGCCUGCGCCUCGCUCCACCUGGCCUAUCGGGGUGUUGCCCCUCCCCUCAACUCGCCUGCCACGACUUGGAUGUAAUCAAUUACCUUCAGAGGGGUCUACAGUGGAGAUCUUUAUCCUGGGUGGGGCCUCCCGAUAGACGGUGUUACUCACGGUUGUCUGACGCGGUGGUCCACAGGGCUUCGCCUCCCCUACACCCCGUCCACACGCCAACCGCUGGGCGAUGCGUUCCAGAUGUUUCCAGGCCCAGUAUGAUGGCCUCAGACCGGUUCCCUGGUUUCCGGUCAUCCUCCCUCCUGCUGGGAGGGAUUCCUCCUUGCUCCUAUCUUACAGAAAAUACUCCUCCGAAUCAGGGGGAGCUGGUGGGUGCUCCCCUUGGUUCCAGCCCCAUCCUGGAGCCUCCACUGUCUCCCCUCUCCUACCGUCGGCAGAGCGCUCCCCUGCCUCCUGAGCGUCAGCCGCUUCAGGAUGCAGAGAGAGUGCCUCGGCUUGCACUCUCUGACUGCCUUUCACUCUGCUGUUUGCGAAAGGCUUCUAGCUCUUGUCUAAGCUGCCUGCUUGAGACCCGCAGGCUGGGUCCUCUCCACUCCGUGUGUGAGCCCGCAGCACAGGUAGCACACCCGUACUCUCUCUCCCUGGCUCCCCCUCUCUCCCUGUCCUGCCGGCGUUUUUAAACCUUCCCGCAGCUGCUAUGGCCGCUGGGAUUGGCUCAGCUGUUCGCCGCGCCAGGAACAGCUGUUGCCAGAGCCGGCGUAAUGGAGGCUCGCGCGGCUGCAGCUGCGGAUGCGGCUCUUCCUCCCGCUGCUCCUCAGCCGGUACGUAUGCCCCUCUGGGGGCUUGCUCUCGGGGUCUGGGGCCUGCGGGUCCCCCCUUCUCUCCCUCACUAGCCUGUGGGGGAACUUCGCCGCCACACCACUGCAUUAUCAUCUAAAAGAAAGUGCCACUGGCAAGUGUGUUGGCUUAGUACAAAUUAGCUUGAUUGAUGAACUGACACCGAGAGACUUUGUUUAAGCAGUCAUUUAUUUCAGAAAACACUAGCAAAUAAAUAUCAGUUAUCUUGUGUAAUUGUAGGGUGAAGUUUUCUGUUUGGAAAUAUGGAUGCAAUUCAAUUUCCUUUUUGCACCAAACCCCGUAAUGUUAUAAAUUUUUAUUAUCUUGAUUCAUAGAACAGACUGCUCAGAACUCUGCAGUGCCAUUCAACCUGUUGAUUAUAUGUCAAGACAGGCAAUAAAUCCUGAUGAACUUUGCCCAGUGCUCUUAUUUGUGGAAGAUUAAAACUUAGGUGUAAUAAAAAAAAAAUCCAUAAUGAGAAGCUGCCUUUGCAGAGAGCUUUUUCCUCAAUAAUUAUUAGCAAGCAAAUCAAAGCAAUUUCACCUGUCAGACUAAUACAUCUAGCCGCCUCUCUCAACUGAAAUCAGAACAACUGCAACUCAAGGCAGUAUCAACAUAGACACUGCUCUGCUCAGUAAAAGGUGAAUGCAUGUAUCAGUAAUUAUCUGCUGGCUUAAACCACUGAUAGAGCCGAAGUGAUUUAAUAGCACCAGUAUAGUUCAGGAUAUUGAAUGAAUAUAAAAAUAAAUUUGAGAUGCAGAAUAUGACAUGAGGUAUGAGAUGUGGCAAGCAUUUGGUGGUGGUGAGAGCGAGGGGUAUGAUCUAAUAGUGCACAGGGCAUUACCCUGAGAGUCCAGAGACAUGGAUUCUAUGCCUGGAUCUACUAACUGUUUUGCUGUACUGAUCUUGGGUGAGGAACUUAAUUUUUUUGUGCUUGUAUGUUUCCACACCCAUCCCUGGUCAAUCUUGGCUAUUUAAAUUGUAAGCUCUUUUACUACACACACACACGCGCGCACACACACACACACACACACACACACACACAGCAUGUGUAGACGAAACAAUAUUUCCUAUUUAUGCUGAUGCAACUGUGUUUGUGUUUGCAUGACCUGGGAUCUCCCUCUGCUCUAAAGUCCAUUUAGCACCUUAAACUAACGCUACUCAAAGAUGUGUUCAUUUAUGGCGCUGUCCAGUUAUACCGCUCCAACUGUGGAUUUGUUCGUGCAAACAGCCAGAGACUCCAAAGACUUCUAACUAAUCCCCUUUGCCACGAGGGUGCGCUGUGUUCCAGCCUUUAGCCAGUAGGUGACGCUGCAUGUUCUUUUUUACCCUCAUCACUCCUUACCCCUCCCUCCUCCCUCACAGCACACAGUGGAGUGGCCAUAGGUUCAGGUUAGGGUGGGUCCGCCCAGAAAAAUUUAUUAUUAUUUUAAAAUGGGGAAGGCCAAUAAUCCCUUAAUUUUCUUCCCCCUUCUUAAUUCUUCCACCCCCCCCCACCUAUGGUGCAUGUCCUCCCCCCAGCCCAUAUACCCUCCUGUCCUUGCACCCCCCACAUCCCCCCUGUCAUGUGCUGCCACUGCAGUGGACAUAGCUUCCGAUGAUAGCUGCAGCAUCACAGUAAUGGUAGUUUUUUGCAAGUAGUUUGAAACUUUGGAGUGAGUGGUUACAUGACUUCUUUCAAUAUUGCAAACCUUCUGAACUUCAUCACAUUCCAUUUCAGAACCACAACAAAAAAAGUCCAGGGGUGGGACGCUGCAUGCCAGACCUGACGCCCAGGAUAUGCAGCAUCUCAGGUGAUAUUUAGAAAACUUUCUUGGGCGGAACUCAUCGGGGGUGGCAACCAGUCCAGUAAUGAAUGAAGACAGUGAAGAGGAGAGUGAAAUAUGUUCAGAUUUUCCGUUUUUUUUUAAUGUUUUUUACUUUUUAUAUAUAUUUAAUAUUGUUAAGCUGCAGCAUUUUCAAAAAAAGUGUUUUAUUUUUGCUCUA